rnacentral:rRNA from 1 species
UGGGAACGCACCCUUUGGUUCGGAACAACCCAGGGAAACUUGGGCUAAUACCGGAUAAGUCCGUAAGGAGAAAGAUUUAUCGCCAAAAGAUCGGCCCGCGUCUGAUUAGCUAGUUGGUGAGGUAACGGCUCACCAAGGCGACGAUCAGUAGCUGGUCUGAGAGGAUGAUCAGCCACAUUGGGACUGAGACACGGCCCAAACUCCUACGGGAGGCAG